AUUGAACGCUGGCGGCAUGCCUUACACAUGCAAGUCGAACGGUAACGGGCCUUCGGGUGCCGACGAGUGGCGAACGGGUGAGUAAUACAUCGGAACGUGCCCGAUCGUGGGGGAUAACGAGGCGAAAGCUUUGCUAAUACCGCAUACGAUCUACGGAUGAAAGCAGGGGACCGCAAGGCCUUGCGCGGACGGAGCGGCCGAUGGCAGAGUAGGUAGUUGGUGGGAUAAAAGCUUACCAAGCCGACGAUCUGUAGCUGGUCUGAGUGGAUGAUCAGCCACACUGGGACUGGGACACGGCCCAGACUCCUACGGGAGGCAGCAGUGGGGAAUUUUGGACAAUGGGCGCAAGCCUGAUCCAGCCAUGCCGCGUGCAGGAUGAAGGCCUUCGGGUUGUAAACUGCUUUUGUACGGAACGAAAAGCCUUCUUUUAAUACAGGAGGGUCAUGACGGUACCGUAAGAAUAAGCACCGGCUAACUACGUG
rnacentral:rRNA from 1 species